CCUACGGGAGGCUGCAGUGAGGAAUAUUGGUCAAUGGGCGAGAGCCUGAACCAGCCAAGUAGCGUGAAGGAUGAAGGCUCUAUGGGUCGUAAACUUCUUUUAUAUGGGAAUAAAGUUUUCCACGUGUGGAAUUUUGUAUGUACCAUAUGAAUAAGGAUCGGCUAACUCCGUGCCAGCAGCCGCGGUAAUACGGAGGAUCCGAGCGUUAUCCGGAUUUAUUGGGUUUAAAGGGAGCGUAGGUGGAUUGUUAAGUCAGUUGUGAAAGUUUGCGGCUCAACCGUAAAAUUGCAGUUGAAACUGGCAGUCUUGAGUACAGUAGAGGUGGGCGGAAUUCGUGGUGUAGCGGUGAAAUGCUUAGAUAUCACGAAGAACUCCGAUUGCGAAGGCAGCUCACUAGACUGUAACUGACACUGAUGCUCGAAAGUGUGGGUAUCAAACAGGAUUAGAUACCCGUGUAGUC
rnacentral:rRNA from 1 species